AGCCUGCCCAGUGACUUUGUUCAACGGCCGCGGUAUCCUAACCGUGCGAAGGUAGCGUAAUCACUUGUCUUCUAAAUAAAGACCAGUAUGAAAGGCAUCACGAGGGCUAAGCUGUCUCCUCUUUCUAAUCAGUGAACCUAAUCUCCCCGUGAAGAAGCGGGGAUCCCGCUAUAAGACGAGAAGACCCUAUGGAGCUUUAAACAUCAUAACACCUGCUAUUCACCUAUACCCAUUCAGAUCCCUCACACCAUAGCACGCUGAUUAUAAGUUUUUGGUUGGGGUGACCGCGGAGAAAAACCCAUCCUCCACAAUGAAAGGGGAAACCCCCUAAACAAUAAGCUACAACUUUAUGUAUCAACAAAUUGACAUCAUUGACCCAACAAAUUGAUCAACGAGCCAAGUUACCCUAGGGAUAACAGCGCAAUCCACUUUGAGAGCCCCUAUCGACAAGUGGGCUUACGACCUCGAUGUUGGAUCAGGGUAUCCCAGUGGUGCAGCCGCUACUAAAGGUUCGUUUGUUCAACGAUUAAAACCCUACGUGAUCUGAUUUCAGACCG
rnacentral:rRNA from 1 species